rnacentral:rRNA from 1 species
GACGAACCGUGCGAACGUUGUUCGGAAUCACUGGGCUUAAAGGGCGCGUAGGCGGGCUCGCAAGUCCGGGGUGAAAUCCCACGGCUCAACCGUGGAAGCGCCUUGGAUACUGCGGGCCUCGAGGGGGGUAGGGGCGCGCGGAACUUCCGGUGGAGCGGUGAAAUGCGUAGAUAUCGGAAGGAACACCGGUGGCGAAAGCGGCGCGCUGGGCCCCUUCUGACGCUGAGGCGCGAAAGCCAGGGGAGCAAACGGGAUUAGAAACCCCAGUAGUCC